GGGAGGCGAGGGCCGGGCAGUGGGUGUUGCCUUCUACCUCUGCGAGCGGGGAGGGGUUAGUUUCCCACAGGGGAUUUCAACCAUCACACUCAGAUCCCGCCUCCUAAUCCUCGGGCGGAGCGGCUCGGGGGCCCCAUUUUAUGGCAAUAAAGCGACUUAGCGCCUGCUGAGCGAGCCCCUCCCCGCCGCCGCCCCCGCCCUCGGCCCCACCCCGGGGCUCGCCCGCAGCGGCGGGGCUUUGUUUCUGGGGAGGAGGACCCGGAGCUCUUUUGUUUGGGGGUUUCUUGUUUUCGGCCCCCCCUCACCUCACCCCACCCCACCCCACCCCAAGCGCCUCUCCGGUUUCCUGAGCUGCGGGCUGCGAGGGAGGAGAAGCGGCGUCCUGCAACCCCCUCGGCUGGGCCCCGGGGUAAUUCGAUGCGGGCCUGGCGAGGCUCCCCACACUAGACCGGGGCUCGCGUCUCGGCAGCCUCCACCCACCGGCCCACCCUACAUUUAGCGCAUCAUGUGAUCCGGGUAAGUCAUUUGCAAGUACAACAGUUCCCCGGGUUGCCCCCCAUUCAUUUCCUGAGAACUGCAGAGAGCCGCUGAGAGGCUCUGCGUGUGCGUGUGCGCGGGUGACGCCGUGUGUGUGCGAGUGAGUGUGUGUGUGUGCGCGCGCGCGCGUGUGAGAGAGAGAAAGGGAGAGAGAGGGGGACUCUGUGUGAGGGAAAGAAAACAAUUUCUCCUGCUCUGCAGCUUCUGUUCAGCCAUCAAGUAUUUACUGAAUACCAAGCAUUGCCAGCAGCAAAGAAGAAGUAUAAGAUGCAGAAUUAUGAUGUAGUUGUGGAUACAAAACUUCAGGAAGAGGUAAUCUGUAUUUAAGAUAGUUACAUGAUCAGGUGAUAAAUUACAAAGUUCAGAUGAAUAUAUAGAGAUAGGCCUGGGUCAUGAGAAUGGGGUUGUAUAUAAGAUGGGUAAUGAUGAAUAAUACUCAUGUGUCAUAGAGAAGAUAUAUGGAGAAAGCAAGCGUUGAGUUGACACUGAACGCUGGGUGGGUAGUGAAUGAAAGUAGAACAUGUUCUGCAGGCAAAAUAGCCUGAGCAAGUAGCAGACACAAGAAUGAGCAGCUUGGAAAUGUGCAGUUCAGUAAGGUUUUGGCUGGUUUUCCUGAAGAUACAGGAAUUAAAGUAAGGUGAGACCAGAUUAUGGAGAGCUUCCACUGUGAAGCAUUUAUGUAGGUGCAUAAAUAUAUGUAGAUGCACUUAUCUAGAUACAAAUAAGAAAAUAUUUGAAGGCCUUCUACAAGGCUUAGUUAUUAUAUUGGUUUACUACAAGUUCUUCAGUUUCUAUUAGAAAUGUUAAGGAGAGUCCUAUGAUCAAGUCUGUGCCUAACAGACUUGAUCCUAAGCUCCUGCUACAUAUCAUAGGUUUUAUUCUCACUUUUCAAACUGUAUUUUUAUAGUGCACCAACAGCAUUCCAUGGAUUUUUAUGUGAAAAAUGAUUUGAUUUGUGUGAGCAGGCCUCUGCAUGCUUGUGAACAAAGUUCUUAAUUAAGAAACUCUGCCUUGGAUGGGGCUUUGGACAUCGUGUAGUCUAGCUUCCCAUCUCAGUGAAGGAAUUUCUCCUAUAAUAAUUCCCAAAGGAGAUUAUUCCUGUUUACCUAAAAUAAUUAAUAGAGGAAGAUGAAGACCUGAUUAGUUGCUUAGUCCAACAUUUAGAGUAGCCUAUUUCAUCUUUGAAAUACAUAUUUCAAAUGAAUGAAAAUUGAGAAGCAUGGUUUUUUUUUUUUUUUUUUCAGAUUUGUACUUGUUGGAAAAGUACUUUUUUUCCCUAUAUGUACUUGUUGGAAAAGAAUCCCAUGGAACACUAAAUCAUGAGUUAAUUUAAUCUUUCAAGUAACUUUAUCUUUUAAUCUAUGCAACAUGGAAUAUCUAUCAUGAUAUUAACUAUUUUAGUUAUUUGAGUUGUUUUAUAAUGUACUCCUUAUAGAUGGAACAAGGCGGUAUGUUAAGGGUACAUACAAAAAAAAAUUCUGGUUUGGUAAAAGAUUACAUCUCUUUAAUAGUAAGGAUUUAAAUCACAUCUUUUUAAAAUCUGAAGUAGUACCCUACCUAAGAGCUAAGUUAUUACCGGUAACAUACACCUCUUCUAAAUAAAAUAAAAGAGACAUGAUGAUCAUUUUUCAUAAACCUAGAGUUAAGAUUUAUCUAGUUCUGUGUACCUGAGAUUGCCCCCUUGUCAAACUGAUAUUAUCUACUUGACUCAACAUGCAGCAUAUUGUUGGUAGAGCUGGUCAUUCAGAGCAAAGCAGAAGACACAGUCUGUUUGUUGAGUGGAAAUCUAAUUUACAAAGCCAUCCAAACACAAGAAAUUGCAGGAAUGAAUUUUAAAUCACAUAUCCAAUCAAUAGUAUUGCUAGAGGAGACUUAGUCAAGGAAGACAUUACGGAGAAUUUCCAAAUUUCCAAAGAGCAAAAAGAUAGGUCUUGGUGGUCCAAGGAAGGUUUCCUAGAAGAAAUGGCAAAUGGCUGAGUCUGCGAAUCCAUUGAAUCUUGGAUUGUUUAUAUAGUCUUUGUAGUUUGAGAUAUAGCACAGUGCCUUGUGCAUAUUUGUAUUUUAAAAAUAUAUAGUGCCUUGUAGGUAUUAUAAAGAGUAGGAAGUAGACUUUAAUAAUCUUCAGUAUAGUGCAGCCAUUCAAAAUUCAGUUUAGGAUUAGAGAGAUCAUAGCUUGAGUCUUAGUUUAACCACUUGCUUCUACCUCUGAUAUUAGUCAAGAUCUUUAUCUUUUAAGUUAUAAUUUCUUCAUGGCAAGGCGGUACAUCAAAAGUCAAAAUUUGUGAUUGUAAUGAGAUAAAUCUUGUGAAGUACUUAUCAUGAUGCUAUCUUAAAUGUCACCCUGAAAUGAAACAGGAACAUGGCAGAAUGCUACUUUUGUGGCUUGCAUUAACAUAUAAAUGCAUCCUUUAUUGUUUGCUAUAGGCUUCUAAGAAGUGAUACUAAUUGGCUUAAAUAUUAUAUGUGCCAUGUAAUUAUUUUCUUUUGGAUGGGGGCCAAAAUGAGAGUGCGUGGGAGGAAAGGACAGUAAGGUUUUGUUCUGAAACGGUAGAGGUGUUCAGACAUCUUCAUGUAGCUAUUUAAAAAUUUAAUUAAGACCCAUCUUAAGGUAGGGUGAAAUAGCCUAUUUUCUAAUGAAAGAAGUUGACAUCUAAUGACCAUACAUUGGCAGGAAUAGACACAGAGUCUGAAUCAGGGAUAGAGAAAGAGAGGCAAUAAUGUGUAACAUUGGGCAGAGUCUGUCUACUCCCGCUCUGCUCUUCUCUAGCAGCUUCUUUCCUGACUGUUCCUUUGCUUUAUCCCAAAGAGGUAGUUUCUCUAUUGUCAAUGGGCUGUAUUUCUGGUAAUCUUCUCAUUUGUUUUCUUGUAGUGAGCCCUGGCUACCAUACUGGCUAAGACAAAAUAUGCUCCAACUCCAUUCCCAUCCAUGACUUUUAUUUUAGCCUGGAGGUUCAAAUCCCUAAGGACAUUUUGACUUUUAUGUUUGGCUAUCAGUGUUCUCAGAUAAUUCAAAACAAAUAGUCACUUAAAACAUUUUUUAAUGUGCUAUAAAAUGAUCUACUGUGGAGUUUUAUGGAGGUAAUUCACAUAUACUCAUAAGAAAAUACAGAACUUUAAAUAAGUUAGAGGCAUCUGUGGAGUGGAUCAGGCUCUGCCUGUGGCCACAACUCUCCUUCAUUUCCAUACUUCUUCACUUCAGCUGCCUUGUGCGUCACUCUGGAUAUGCGCUUAACUAUAGCCCAGAGGUAAGAUUUGAUAAACAAUGUUCUUAGGAGAUUAAGUUAUGAAACUUAACUCACAGGGAAACAAACAUUUGAUUUAGGAAGGGAGCUAAUUGCCUAGGAAGUCCUUAGAUGUUAUUUAUGCUAGAAAGCAAGGUCCUUCCUGGGGCCCAGACUUGUCCUGAUGUAUAGAAUAAGACUUGUUGAGAAAUGCCUGAGAACAAACUGUAAGAGUGAUACUAGGUACCCUGAAUGCCUAAACCUAAUAGGGUCCCUCUAUACUUACCUUAGAAAUCACUAGUGACUUGGACACUAUAGAGAACAGUAAAGAUUUAUGUGAUCCAGUAUAUUCUACCAAAUUAUUGUGGUGUAGUUAAGUCUGACUUAAAUAGAAAUGUGACCAGAUAACAUGCCUGUAUCAAUUUUAUGAUCUUAAAGAUAAAAUUUUUAUUUAGUUGGAAAUAUUUAAUGGAAAACGUUGAAAAUUAAGUAGUUGGCCAAUCAUGGUGAAAUUUUCUUGACAUAUAAUUUAACAAAUCCUCUAUUUUAACAACAGAUAAAAAAACAACUGAGGAAAAGCAAAUCUAGAACAUUUAUAUGAAGAAAUAGAAAUAAAACUGCUGGUUUUAUAUGGUUGAUAAAAGUUUUUUCCCUUUCUUUUUGAAGACUGGUAUUUGGGAAUGGUAGGCAAUAGAGAGGAUCAGGACUUGGUUGGUCUUAGUGCCACUGCUUAUUGUUGGUUAGAUAUCCUGCAUGUAAUCUUUUGGGCAAGUUAUGUUUUUGACUUGAGAUUUACUUUCCUCAUUUAUAAAAUAGUUAUCAAAAUUACCUACUUCACAAUGUGGUACUGAGAAUUAUGUAAAAGAGAACUAUGUAAAACAUCUGGCAGGGCAUCUGGAAGUUAGUACUCAAUGGUAAAUAUUAAGUAUUAAUAGUGAUAAUUGCAAACCUUUUCUAAUAUCGUAUGUUUUUACUGCUAUUUCUCUAGAGCUUUUCAAUUGGUCAUAUAAUAUAUGCCCUUUAAAAAAAAUUGAAAAUUCUUUCUCUUUUUCUUAUAUUAAUUUAAACUUAUAAAAUGAUGUGAUUCCCUUGUCUUCCUUCUCUUACACAUUGUAACUCUCUGCAGCACCCAGAUGCAUCGUAAAAUCUUAUUAACGUAAACAUUUUAAAACUUGAAGCAUUUUCCACAUAACAACCAUGUUUCUUGUAUUUAUCACAGAUUAAUCUAGGAAUUUUAUCACUGGGUCAAAGAUUGUCAACGUGCUUUUGACUCUUGAAACUAAAGUGCCUUUCAAAGGAGUUCUGAUAGUUGGUAUUGCCAGAGGCAACAUGUGAAUAAGGUCCUUCCUGCCACUUUCUAGCAAUGGAUAUAAUGGCUAUUAAAUUGGCCAGUUCAAUCAAUGUUAAGUGAUAAUCUCAUUUUUUUUCUUCUUUCUUUACAAGGAACAGAAAUAAUUGUUGACAUAUUGUUUUGGAUUAAAGUGGGUAAUCGUGUUGAAAUAAUUUGGAAUUGGUAGUAGUUAUAAUAAAGCACACGUUGUUGAAACUAAAUUAAAAAGACUCUUUAAUGCGUCUUGUUGACCUUUUAUGUGAAGAAUGUGUAUGGUCACAAUUGAAAGUAUUAUGAGAAAAUUUUAAAGUUUUUGAAGUAAAAAAGAAAAAACAGGCCAAAAAACUUUAAAAUAUAUUUCCAGCUUGUAGAUUCAAUUGCUGAUUUCUUAGUGUGCCAUCUAUGUUAAACUCUUAACUAUCUGAAGCCUAAGUCACUACAUGUAGAAUUAGAAACCACUGUUUUUGGUUUUAAGGGUAUUUAAAAAUAGCCUUAGCGGAAUCUUUAGCUUCAUUUUUACUGGUAAAGCCUAAUUGAGUUUUACUAUUAAAGCUGACUAUACUCUGUCUUCCUCCUUAGCUUGCUUUUACCUCAUUUAUAGAACACACCCUAGUAUUUUAGAAACAAUUACAUAUCUCACUCAUACCUCCCCCUCUCCCUCGACCCCCAAGACAAAAUGUAGGCAUGUUGAAUGAACAGACAUAGCAAAGUGGGGGGAUUUCCUUGAGCUAUAGAAUUAGUUGAUGAAAAAAGGGAGCGAGGGGAAAGUGUGAGAACUACAGAGAAAAGAACACAAUUAGAGAAGACAUGGAGAUACGAGAAAAGUAGAUUUACAUUUUGAGUUCUCAUUGCUGUCAUAUUUCUUCACAAAUUCUCUGGCAAGCUGUAAGAUGGGCUGUUUUUUAAGGUUUAUUGAUAAGCAAUUGAUUCAUAUUUUAGGUCAAACUAAUUCUGCAUCUCUUUCCCAUUGUUCUUUUGUGCUUCUUUAUUCUACUCUAUUUUUAAGAGCAGUACUGUCUAACUUGCUGACUCUUUCUGCUCUACUGUUGCUCCAGCCCUGCAGCUUCCCCACCGUGUGAAUUUGCACUUCAGUGGCACCGUUUCCUGUUAGAAACCAAAGGCAGGCCCCUGACUUUUCUAGGUGGUGAUUCACACAGGAAAGGACCUGAAAAGUUGUAUCAGGGCACCUGAUUAACUGUAGGACUAGCUGAUGGACUUGAAGCACAAAUGGGGCUGUGGAAUCUUUUCCAUACUUUUUGGUCUCCUGUGGGUCUGAGGUAGAGUGGUCAAAAAAUUUAAAGAUUGACGUAAGUAGAUUCUAGAACACAAAUUACAGAAGGUUGGAAUUGAUGUUGUUCAGAUUACCCUGGAUAGAAAUCAAGGUGAAUGAUAUUGAUAUUUGAGUCCAAAUCAGGUAUUUGUUUUUUUUUUUUUAAUUGUAGUAAAAUACAUGUAACAGAAAUGUACUGUUUUAACCCUUUUUAAAACAUUAUAUAUUGUCACGUAACUGUAUUUAACAUGGAAAUAUGUGCAUGCAUAUGUAACUUAGAAAGAUGAAAACUGUUCCUUCCUUAUUUUGUAAUAGAAGAACCUUAAAAAUCACUGUCGUAAUUUUCUUUUUAGGUUGUGAAAUACAACUUAAAAUUUUAUUAACCAUUUUAAAUGUAAAAUACAAAGUGAUGUUUUUUCACUAUGUAAGUUGAGCUUUAUAUAAAUGAAUUAUAUACAGUUCUAUUAGAGAAGGAUGAAACUAAAAAAAGGUUGAUUUGCAGAUAUUUCACUUUUUUGGAAUUAAAAUAACUGAUUGUUUUCUUCUCCCAUCCUUCUAUGUUUUUCUACACAUGUAUUUCGAUACUAGAAGUAUUGCUAAGUUUUUAAACCUAGUUUUCCUCCAAAACAAAGAUUUUUUUUUUCUUUCAAAAUCUUGUUAAUUUUUUCAUGGACUGAAUUUGCAAUCCAUGUGCAAUCAAUCUUUAUAAUAAAAAUAUAAAAUUGACAUUUCACAAUGUACCCAUAAUUGGCAUAAAUUAUUAUGAUUAAUAAGGUCAAGUUUGUGAGUUACGGUACCCAAAACUCAACUGUUUUACUAGGGAAAUCUUAGCAAAUUGAAAUUAUUUAAUUGUUUGCAUUUUACCAAAUAAUGUUUUCAGCCUGUUACGGGGACUCGAGAGAAGUGGUUAUCUGACAGUUGUCAAGUCGGAGGAAGUUAAGAUGUCUUUAUAUCUAGGUGGGCUCAUCAUUUAGCUCUCUCUGCAGUCAUUUGGUAAUGUCAUCCAGUCAGGCAAAUGUGUUUCAUUUACUUUAUUGAUCAAUAUAAUCUACAUUAUAUUUAUGACAGUGACUAUUUGUUUAUAAAAAGGCAGUAUGUAAACUUGGACAGUUCUCAAUUCCCUUGGGUACCUUUCUUGCUCAGUUCAUGUUAGUAAAUGAUGAUUAUGUCCUAGAUAGGCCUAUGCAAUGGAGUGCCAGAACUCUUGCAUCUGUUUAGACUACUCACUGAUUUUAUCUUUUUUUUUUUGUUUAACUCUGAACAAACCAAAAUGUCCAUCAUGUGUAACUCACUAAUGUUCACAACCCACUUGCAGCAAAACUAAGAACCUUAAAAUGACCUUGAAGCUAUAGCAGUAGUGAGCAUCAGAUAUAUUCAGACACUUCAUCUGAGUCGAUUAGCAACAGAGAUUUCUCUUGGAAAACAGAAGUAGAUGGGAAGCAAUGACAUUUGUAUAAAGGCACUUCCUUUUGCCACCUUUGUUUUGUUUUGUUUUUUUUUUUUUAAAGAAUUAUGGUGUAAUCUUACUGCUGUUAUUAAACUGCUUUAAGCUUCUUUCCAAGUAUCACAGCCAACUUGAAGGAUUUAUUUCCUUGCUUGCACUUUGAAACAUAGCUAUCAAACAAAGUAAGGAAAGGCAAGUGAUAGAGAUACAGCCCCUUUGCAUUUUCAGUUUGUUUGCAUUUGUUCAUGGCUUCUAAGACACUUUGAAUUUCCGAAGGAGUUUGCUUGCUUUAAACUCUGUCAUAUAUACAUUGUUACUUGAAUGAGUCUGUAAGAGAUCAAAGUACCUAUCAGCUCAGUUAGAAGAGAUUUUUUUUUUUUCUCUCUGAGAUGGUUAUAAAGGGAGAUUCCAUUGCCUUAUGUAUGUUGAGAACUUAACAUAGGAAAAUAGUGGGUUGUUAAAGUUUGAAAAGUUUCAGGGAAGAGGUGGGUGGUUUCUGUAGAGUAUCAAAUAUUUGAAGUAUAUUAAAUCUGUUAGAUUAAUUGGAAUUUCUCCUAAUUUCCUAUGUUUUAGAGAGACCUUUUCCCCCUCAAGUGCAUGUGCAGAUAUAGAAACAAAAUUUGGCUUCGACAAAUGAUGUUGCCUCUCUCUCUUAAAGUAAUAUUUAAAUGAAUAAUACAGGCUCAUUAGUAUUGUCAGUUAUUUUAUAAGAUACUUGAAACUGAAGAAGACACAAAUAUCAGAGGGCCUAAUUUUUACCUAUGGAAUUAUUAUUUUGGUCAAAAAUAUUUUCACUCCAUGUGUUCAUUGUGUGUGCUGCCUGCCCUCUCUCGGCAGUGGUCCAGCUGAUUGCUGCUAUUACUGUUAAGGGCUCUCAGUGUAUCAAAAAUAAGUUUGUUUGAGCAUGACAGAAUGAUGCAUAUAGUCAUUAUUUAAAUUGGAAACAAAAGUUCUGUACUGACUAUAUAGUGAGUACAAUCAAAUACAUAAACCAUUAGACGGGCAACUAAGCUGGUAAGCCAUGGAGAAUUUACUAUUUUGUUGGAUGUUUGUUAGAGCAUGAAGUUGGAAUUUAGAAUGUAUUUUCUCCUGAAGUACAUUUGACGAUUAUGUAUCUGUCUGUGAGGUGUGGUUAAUUCCACAGAGCUUAUCUCCUCUAUAGUGUCCCCCAAAUUAGAAUAUGGUACUGCCAUUGUGUGGUAACACUGUAUAUGACAGUGUAUCUAUUGGAAAAUGUUUGAGUUUUCAUAUGAAUUUUUAGGGGCAUUGCUAUAGUUCUGACAGAAUAAAUAUGGAUUUGAAAGUUACAAACCAUACACAACUUGGUAUUUCAGAGGCUAGGAGUUGCAGUGGGGCUCCAGUGCAUUGGUGGUGAUAAAAAUGUUCAGGGUUGGAAUCUCUUUGCACUUUGAUCUCUUAGGAACUGUCUUAAUCCUAGCUGUAUUUCACAUGCCCUUUUUCUUCAAGAUCGCCAGAAACUUGUUUAAUCUGCUACCUCUCCACAAUGAACAGCUGAUGCUGUGGCCAUAGUAGCUGUCAGCCCCCUUUUCUGCUAGAUGGGGUUAGUGUCCCCACAAAAUUCAUGUCCUUUUUGGGACCUCAGAACAUGACCUUAUUUGGAAUCGAGUUGUUGCCAAUGUGACGAAUUAGGAUGAGGUCAUCCUAGAGUAGAGUGGCCUUUAAUCCAAUAUGGCUGUGUCCUUCUAAGAAGACACACACAUAGGGAGAGCACCAUGUCACAGAGGCAGAGAUUGGAGUGAUAUAUUUACAGACCAAGGAAUACCAGCGAUUAUUGGAAACACCAGAAACUCAGAGAAAGGCAUGGAACAAAUUCUGCUCUACAGCCUUCAGAGAGAACGUGGCCCUACAAACACCUUGAUUUUGGAGUUUCAGCCUCUGUAACUGUGAGAGAGUAGAUUUCUGUUUUUAAAAGCCACCUGGUAUGUGCUACUUCCUUACUGCAGCCCUAGGAAACUAAUACACCUGCCAAUAAAUAGAGAAGAAGACAGUCUUUGGGUUUCUGCCCUGUAAGUCUGUUUCUUAGCAAACAUGUAAGUAAUUUUUAAGGUCCUCUAAAAUUCUCAGAAACAAAACUGAGCAUCUGUAGGUGAAGAACAUUCAUUUUCAACCAUCACUUCAGUGUGGCAUUUCGUGGGAAAGCUAUUCCAUACUGGGAUCCCAUCCCCAGGGAUUCUAAUCUGGUGGGUUAAGGGUAGGGCCUGAGCAUCUGUAUGUUUUAAAGCUUCGCAAGGGAAUCUGGGAAUAUGCAGCUAGAGCAGAGAAUCACUAGUGCAGAGGGAAGAGUAAGAACUAGCCAGGUGCACAUUAGAAUCAGCUUGUUGGCUUCUGAAACUUACUAAUGCCUGAGCCCCAACACCAGAGGUGAGGGAUGCAGCCUGCCGUUGGUUCGGGAUGCAGAGGGAUUGAGGAGAGUUUUGAAGCUCCCAGUGAAUUUUUUUUUUUUCCACAAUGGAUGGAUGGAUGACAAAAUAUCUUCUUCUGUAUUGUAUUCUUUCUUCUUCAUAAUUCAAGGCCUCCCGGACAUCUUCAAAGGAGGUGGCCAAUGAGUUAUAUGUGAGUUGAGUGUGUUGGUGGGAUUGGAGUGGUCACUGGUGGCUGCAGGUGGGUGGGAGCGGGUCUUUUUUUUUUUU